UAGCUUAGUGGUUAAGGCUAUGGAUCGCCAAUCCGGAGACAGCGGGUUCGAUUCCCGU
rfam:Aedes albopictus isolate Foshan contig43943, whole genome shotgun sequence.